rnacentral:rRNA from 1 species
UCCACGCUGUAAACGAUGAGGGCUACUCGUUUGGUUCGUUGACGAACUGAGUGGGACAGCUAACGCGCUAAGCCCUCCGCCUGGGGAGUACGGUCGCAAGAUUAAAACUCAAAGGAAUUGACGGGGGCCCGCACAAGCGGUGGAGCAUGUGGUUUAAUUCGAUGCAACGCGAAAAACCUUACCUGGGCUUGACAUCCCUCUGAUCGCUUUUAGAGAUAAGAGCUUCUCUUCGG